rnacentral:rRNA from 1 species
AGAGUUUGAUCAUGGCUCAGAUUGAACGCUGGCGGCAGGCUUAACACAUGCAAGUCGAGCGGGGAAUGGUAGCUUGCUACCUGACCUAGCGGCGGACGGGUGAGUAAUGCUUAGGAAUCUGCCUAUUAGUGGGGGACAACAUUCCGAAAGGAAUGCUAAUACCGCAUACGCCCUACGGGGGAAAGCAGGGGAUCUUCGGACCUUGCGCUAAUAGAUGAGCCUAAGUCAGAUUAGCUAGUUGGUGGGGUAAAGGCCUACCAAGGCGACGAUCUGUAGCGGGUCUGAGAGGAUGAUCCGCCACACUGGGACUGAGACACGGCCCAGACUCCUACGGGAGGCAGCAGUGGGGAAUAUUGGACAAUGGGCGCAAGCCUGAUCCAGCCAUGCCGCGUGUGUGAAGAAGGCCUUUUGGUUGUAAAGCACUUUAAGCGAGGAGGAGGCUACUGAGAUUAAUACUCUUGGAUAGUGGACGUUACUCGCAGAAUAAGCACCGGCUAACUCUGUGCCAGCAGCCGCGGUAAUACAGAGGGUGCGAGCGUUAAUCGGAUUUACUGGGCGUAAAGCGUGCGUAGGCGGCUUUUUAAGUCGGAUGUGAAAUCCCUGAGCUUAACUUAGGAAUUGCAUUCGAUACUGGGAAGCUAGAGUAUGGGAGAGGAUGGUAGAAUUCCAGGUGUAGCGGUGAAAUGCGUAGAGAUCUGGAGGAAUACCGA